rnacentral:lncRNA from 1 species
AGGUGUCCCAGAAACAGGCAAGCCUCUAGCUUGGGAAAGAGAGAACCAGGGAUGUGCAGCCUGGCACCCCCUCCAAAGUGGGGGCCUCGAGGAUGCAGAGGCCCAGCUCUCGGCAAAGUGCACCACUGCCCCAGACGCGACCUGAAGGGAGGGAGUGCUGGAGGCUGUGGCCUUGAGGGAGGCCGUCAGGAGUCUGGUGGGGGUCCUGGAGCGGGGAUCCUAGUAAGUAUCCUAGAUCGGGGUGACUCCCAUCCCAUGGGUUGGGGUCCUUGAGUUCAGACAGCACUUGUGAGCUGUCCCAAUGUCCCUUCUGCUUGGUUCAGGGACCCUGCCUGGGGGCAUAGGAGGUCCAGUCUGUGACUCCGCCCACUUGUGGCCGCCUAGGGUCCUUACCUGCUGCUUCCCUAGGUGGCUGGGACACUUCACCGAAGAGCACACAUUAGAAGCUUGGCGCGUCCCAAUGCCCGUCAGCGCUCAUGAACCAGCGGUGACCACAUCCUCACCAUCACCGGUAUCAAAGCAGUCCCAGGCCUGCAGUCUCUAGAUGCCUCUCUGCUCCUGGACAUCAUGACGGUGGCCGGCGUCCAGAAGCUCAUCAAGAGACGUGGCCCGUUCGAGUCGAGCCCCAGCCUCCUGGACUACCUCACCAUGGACGUCUACGCCUUCCCCGCCGGGCAUGCCAGCCGCGCCGCCAUGGUGUCCAAGUUCUUCCUCAGCCACCUGGUGCUGGCGGUGCCCCUG